GGCUUGAUAGCACAAUGGUUACUGCGUCCUCAUCAAAUAGUUGCUGGGUAACGGUUUACGAGGAAGAUCCCUGUUCGAUUCGGGGUCAGGCUA